rnacentral:rRNA from 1 species
UAGGGAAUCUUCCACAAUGGACGGCAAGUCUGAUGGAGCAACGCCGCGUGAGUGAAGAAGGGUUUCGGCUCGUAAAGCUCUGUUGUUAAAGAAGAACGUGGGUAAGAGUAACUGUUUACCCAGUGACGGUAUUUAACCAGAAAGCCACGGCUAACUACGCGCCAG